rnacentral:rRNA from 1 species
GUGAACGCUGGCGGUAGGCCUAACACAUGCAAGUCGAACGGCAGCACAGUAAGAGCUUGCUCUUACGGGUGGCGAGUGGCGGACGGGUGAGGAAUACAUCGGAAUCUACUUUUUCGUGGGGGAUAACGUAGGGAAACUUACGCUAAUACCGCAUACGACCUACGGGUGAAAGCAGGGGAUCUUCGGACCUUGCGCGAUUGAAUGAGCCGAUGUCGGAUUAGCUAGUUGGCGGGGUAAAGGCCCACCAAGGCGACGAGCCGUAGCUGGUCUGAGAGGAUGAUCAGCCACACUGGAACUGAGACACGGUCCAGACUCCUACGGGAGGCAGCAGUGGGGAAUAUUGGACAAUGGGCGCAAGCCUGAUCCAGCCAUACCGCGUGGGUGAAGAAGGCCUUCGGGUUGUAAAGCCCUUUUGUUGGGAAAGAAAAGCAGCAGGUUAAUACCCCGCUGUUCUGACGGUACCCAAAGAAUAAGCACCGGCUAACUUCGUG